GAACCUACCUGCCAAGUUCAAAGAAUAGUUGGUUAAAUCUGAAGAGGAAGGAUAAAGCAAGGAAAAGUUGGAUGAAAAGGAGAAUGUGCUGACCCCUGUGAUUUCCCCAAAUGUGGGAAACCCAACUGCAUAAUUUGUGGUAGUGGGGGACUGCAUUCGUGCUCUCCCCUG